rnacentral:rRNA from 1 species
UACGUAGGGGGCAAGCGUUUGUCCGGAAUUAUUGGGCGUAAAGAGCUCGUAGGCGGUUUGUCGCGUCGGGGAGUGAAAACCAGGUGCUUAACACCCUGGCUUGCUUUCGAUACGGGCAGACUAGAGGUAUGCAGGGGAGAACGGAAUUCCUGGUGUAGCGGUGAAAUGCGCAGAUAUCAGGAGGAACAGCCGGUGGCGAAGGCGGUUCUCCUGGGCAUGACCUGACGCUGAGGAG